rnacentral:lncRNA from 1 species
GGACAACACCUGCUCCCAGGCAAAAGGAGUUUGUUAAGACAUUGCAUUAAAUAGCAAGAUGGCAGAUGAACAUCAGGAAAGAACAUUAGGAACAUCCACAGUGUUCCAUCCAGGAACCUUCACCAUGGAAACCCUUGUGCUCAUGGGCCUGGUCUCAAGACACAUUCAGCUGUUGGGGAUCAGAGGCCGCACUCAUCGUAGCAGAGAGGCAGGACCAACUGGGAGAGGGUCAUUCUGUGACACCUACUGCAUCACCGGGCUGUGUGAAGUGACUCAGCUGCCAGAACUCACACAAUAUCAUUCUACACCAAAACCUCACGGGAAAAAUCCUCCCCGACCCUCAGACUUAAACAGCAGCACUGGCUCCUCCCCAGAUCUCCAGCUCCCUGACCCUCAAACUCCAACUGCAGCACCAGCUCCACCUGGGUCUCCAGCUCCAUGAUCCUCAAACUACAACAGCAGCACCAGCUCCCCCGUGGAUCUCCAGCUCAAUGACUCUCAGACUUGGGAGGUGGCACUGGCUCCCAACCAAGGCUCCAGCUCCACAAACCUCAAACUAGAACAGCAGCACCAGCUACUCCCUGGGUCUCCAGCUCCCUCAAACUUCAACUAUAGCACUGGCUCUUCCCUGGGGCCACCAGCUCCACAACCCUCAACUUACACGGUGGUAGCACCAGCUCCUCCCCAGGUCUCCAGCUCCACGACCAUCAAACUUGAACUGCAACACCAGCUCCUCUUCAGCCUCCAGCUCCACAAUCCUCCAACAACAACAGCAACACUGGCUCCUCCCUGAAUCUCCAGCUCAACAACUCACAGACUUGAGAGGCAGCACCGGCACCUCCCCAAGGCUCCAGCUCCAUGACCCUCAGAUUUGAACAGUGGUAGCACCAGCUCCUGUCCAGGUCUCCAGCUUCACUAUCCUUAAACUAGAACAGCAGCACCGCCGCCUCCCUGGGUUUCCAGCUCCAUGACUCUAAGACAUGAAUGAAAGAACCGGGUCACCCCAGCACUCCAACUCCAAGACCCACAGAUUUGAACGGCAGCACUGGCUCUUCCCGGGAUCUCCAGCUCCACGGCCCUCAAACUAGAUCAGCAGCACCGGCUCCUCUCUGGUUCUCCAGCUCCACAAUCCUCACACAUGAACAAUAGUACCAGCUCCUCCUUGGGUCUCCAGCUUCACUACCCUCAGACUAGAACAGCAACACUGGUUCCUCCGUGGACCUCCAGCUCUACAAUCCUCAGAAAUGAACAGCAGCAGCACCGCCUCCUACCUUUGUCUCCACUUCCACAACCCUCAAACUACAACAGCAGUACCGGCCUCUCCCCAGGUCUCCACAUACAUGACCCUCAAAAUAGAAUGGCAUCAUAGGCUCCCUCCUGGAUCUCCAGCUCCCAAACCCUCAAACUUCAAUUGACACACCAGAUCCUCCCCACAGCUAAAUAGCAGCACGGGCUCUUCCCCAAAGCUCCAGAUCCACGAACCUCUGACUUAAGUGGCGGUAGCACCGGCUCCUCCCUAGGUCUCCAGUUCCACGACCCUCAAACUAUACACCAGCACCAGCUCCUCCCCAGGUCUCAGGCUCCAUGACCCUCAGACUUAAAAAGCCAUAGUAUGGACUUCUCCCUGGGGCUCCAGCUCUACAACCCUCAGACAUGAACAGCAGCAGCACCGGCUCCUCGCCCUGUCUCCACUUCCACGACCCUCAAACUACAACAACAGUACCAGCCUCUCCCCAGGUCUCCAGAUCCACGACCCUCAAAAUAGAAUGGCAUCACCGGCUCCUCCCUGGGUCUCCAGCUCCCAAACCCUCAAACUUCAAUUGACACACCAGAUCCUCCCCACAGUUAAACAGCAGCACGGGCUGUUCCCCAAAGCUCCAGAUCCAUGACCCUCUGACUUAAAUGGCGGUAGCACCGGCUCCUUCCUAGGUCUGCAGUUCCAUGACCCUCAAACUACACAGCAGCACCGGCUCCUCCCCAGGUCUACAGCUCCACCACCCUCACACUAGACACCAAGACUACCUCCUCCCCACUCUCCAGCUACAUGACCCUCAGACUUGAACAGCAGCGGCUCCUCCCUGUACCUAAAGCCCCAUUAUGCUCAGACUUGAACAACAGCAACACCAGCUCCCCCACAGGGCUCCAGCUCGAGGACCCACAGAUUUAAACAGCAGCACCGGCUCUUCCUGUGACCUCCAGCUCCACUAACCUCAAACUAGAACAGCAGCAUCGGCUCCUCCUUGGGUCUCCAGCUUCACUACCCUCAGGCUAGAACAGCAACACCGGUUCCUCCCUGGGUCUCCAGCUCAAUGACUCUCAGAUUUGAAACGCAGCACCGGCUCCUCACAAAGUUUCUGGCUCCAAGGCCCUCAAACUAUAAUAGCAGCAGCUGCUGCACCCUGGGUCUCCAGCUCCACAACCCUCAAAGUAGAAAAGCAGCCCUGGCUCUUCCCCAGGUCUCCAGCUCCUCGAGUCUGAGGGUUGUAGAGCUGGAGACCCAGGGAGGAGUCAGUGCUGCUGUUCUAGUUUGAGGGUCGUGGAUCUGGAGACCCAGGGUGGAGCCGGUGCUGCUGUUCUAGUGUGAAGGUCAUGGAGCUGGAAGACCCCGGAAGGAUCUGCUGCUGCUGUCCUAGUUUGAAGGUCAUGGAGCUGGAGACCCAGGAAGGAGUCAUUUGAACAGCAGCACUGGCCCCUCCCCAGGUCUACUGCUCCACCACCCUCACACUAGACACCAACACUACCUCCUCCCCGCUCUCCAGCUACACGACCCUCAGACUUGAACAGCAGCAGUGGCUCCUCCCUAGAUUUCCAGCUCCAUGACCCUCAACCUGCAACCGCAGCACGAGCUCUUCCCUGUACCUCAAGCCCCAUGACCCUCUGACUUGAACAACAGCAACACCAGCCACCCCCAGGUCUCCAGCUCCACAACCCUCAGCCUUAAGCAACAGCAGCACCAGCUCCUCCCUGGGUCUCCAGAUUCACACCCCUCAGAUUAGAACAGCACCCCUCCUCUCUGAGUCUCCAGCUCCAUGACCCUCAAACUACAACAGCAACACGGGCUCCUCCCUGCAUCUCCAGCUCAACAACUCUCAGACUUGAGAGGCGGCACCGGCAACUCCCCAAGGCUCCGGCUCCAUGACCCUCAGAUUUGAAUAAUGGUAGCACCAUCUGCUAUCCAGGUCUCCAGCUUCAUGAUCCUUAAACUAGAACAGCAGCACCACUGCCUCCCUGGAUUUCCAGCUCCACGACCCUAAGACAUGAAUGGCAGAACUAGCUCCCCACCAGUUUUCCAGCUCCAGGACCCACAGAUUUAAAGGACAGCACCAGCUCUUCCCGGGAUCUCCAGCUCCACUACCCUCAAACUAGAACAGCAGCACUGGCUCCUCCCUGGGUCUCCAGCUCCCAAACCAUCAAACUUCAACUGACACACAGGAACCUCCCCACAGUUAAACAGCAGCACGGGCUGUUCCCCAAAACUCCAGAUCCACAACCUUCUGACUUAAAUGGCAGUAGCACUGGCUCCUCCCUAGGUCUCCAGUUCCAUGACCCUCAAACUACACAGCAGUACCAGCUCCUCCCCAGGUGUACAGCUCCACCACCCUCACACUAGACACCAAGACUACCUCCUCCCCGCUCUCUAGCUACACGACCCUCAGACUUGAACAGCAGCAGCGGAUCCUCCCUGUACCUCAAGCCCCAUGACCUCGGAUUUCAACAACAACAACACCAGCUCCUGCCUAGGGCUCCAGCUCCAGGACCCACAGAUUUAAACGACGGCACCGGCUCUCCCCAGGAUCUCCAGCGCCACUACCCUUAAACUAGAACAGCAGCACCGCCUCCUCUCUGGUUCUUCAGUUCCACAACACUCAGGCAUGAACAGCAGCACCGGCUCUUCCUUGGGUCUCCAGCUUCACUACCCUCAGACUAGAACAGCAACACUUGUUCCUCCCUGGAUCUCCAGCUCAAUGACUCCCAGACUUGAAAGGCAGCACCAACUCCUCCAUGGAUCUCCAGCUCCAUGACACUCAAAACAACAUGGCUCCUCCCUGGGUCUGCAGCUCCAGGACCCUCGAACUACAACAACAUUGUUCCUCCCUGGGUCUGCGGCUCCAUGAUCCUCAAACUCGAACAAGACCUCUCCUCCCUGGGUCUCCAGCUUCCGGACCCUCAAAUUACAACAACAUUGCUCCUGCCUGGGUCUGCAGCUCCACGACCCUCAAAUAAGAACAAGACCUCUCCUCCCUGGGUCUCCAGCUUCCUGACCCUCGAACUACAACAACAUUGCUCCUGCCUGGGUCUGUAGCUCGACAACCCUCAAACUAGAACAAGACCUCUCCUCCCUGGGUCUCCAGCUUCCGGACCCUCGAAUUACAACAACAAUGCUCCUGCCUGGGUCUGCAGCUCCAUUACCCUCAAAUAACAACAAGACCUCUCCUCCCUGGGUCGCCAGCUUCCGGACUCGAACUACAACACUGCUCCUCCCUGGAUCUGUAGCUCGACGACCCUUAGCUAGAACAAGACCUCUUUUCCCUGGUUUGCCAGCUUCCGGACCCUCAAACUAAAACAACAUUGCUCCUGCCUGGGUCUGCAGCUCCACGACCCUCAAUCUCAAACAAGACCUCUCCUCCCUGCGUCGUCAGCUUCUGGACCCUCAAAUUACAACAACAUUGCUCCUGCCUGGGUCUGCAGCUCCAUGACCCUCAAAUAACAACAAGACCUCUCCUCCCUGGGUCGCCAGCUUCCUGACCCUUGAAUUACAACAACAUUGCACCUGCCUGGGCCUGUAGCUCGAUGACCCUCGAACUAGAACAAGAACUCUCCUCCCUGAGUCGCCAGCUUCCUGACCCUCGAACUACAACAGCAUUGCUCCUCCAUGGGUCUGCAGCUCCACAACCCUGAAACUAGAACAAGACCUCUCCUCCCUGGGUCUGCAGCUCCACCACCCUCACCCUAGAACAGCAGCACCAGCUCCUUCCUGGACCUCCAGCUCAAUGACUCUCAGACUUCAAAGGCAGCACCAGCUCCACCCCCAGGCUCCAGCUCCAACACCCUCAGAUUUGAGCAGCGACAACACCAGCUCCUUUCUGGGUCUUCUGUUUCACGAUCCUUAAAUUAGAACAGCAGCACCAUCUUCUCCCUGGGUCUCCAGCUCCAUGAGACUCAAGCUAGAAUAGCAGCACCAGCUCCUCUUGGAUCUUCAGCUCCACGACCCUAAGACAUCAGUGGUAGCACCGGCUCCUCCCCUGGGCUCCAGCUCCAGGACCCUCAGACUUGAACAAAAACACCAGCUCCUCCCCAGGCCUCCAGCUCCUUGACCCUCAUAAACAAUCCCUUCUUAUGAAAUGUAGCAGUCAGGAAAACUGUAGAGGAAG